GGAAUCGUUGCUGCAACAGCGCCCCUCUGAUGUGUAACGGCGGAUGCGUGUUAACCUGCCCGUGUGGCGGAAGAAGGUACUGCACCGCUGACGUCGGAGCCUGGUGGCGUCGGCUGCAGGAAGCCAGGUGAUGCUAAGUGGCCUUUAAUUAACGAGCGUGUCAAACAGCGUGAAGUGGAGCCGCAACACGGAAAUGAUGGAGAGACUUCAGCUGGUUCUGCUCAGCUCAGCUGAUCUGGCGUCAGCGGAGGUGGCGUCAGCGGAGGUGGAAAUGAGGACUCAUUACCUAAAACUGUGAGAUGACUGGAAGUCGUGGGACGUCGUUUGACCCGGCUGUGUGAUUAACACUCAGCUCCAGCUGCAGAUACUGAGUCCAGACAGCAGCAGACCUCUGCCUGUCUGUCCCCCCUGCUGUGGCUGCUGAUGGCAGCUUGUACCUGCAUUCAUGUUCUUACCCAGCUGGGUUUGUGUUGAACUGUGUGUUGUUGCAGGUUUGCGUUGUUGCAGGUUUGCGUUGUUGCAGGUUUGCGUUUUGCAGGUUUGCGUUGUUGCAGGUUUGCGUUGUUGCAGGUUUGCGUUGUUGCAGGUUUGCGUUUUGCAGGUUUGCGUUUUGCAGGUUUGCGUUGUUGCAGGUUUGCGUUGUUGCAGGUUUGCGUUGUUGCAGGUUUGCGUCGUUGCAGGUUUGCGUCGUUGCAGGUUUGCGUCGUUGCAGGUUUGCGUUGUUGCAGGUUUGCGUUGUUGCAGGUUUGCGUUGUUGCAGGUUCGUGUUGUUGCAGGUUUGCGUUUUGCAGGUUUGCGUUGUUGCAGGUUCGUGUUGUUGCAGGUUUGCGUUGUUGCAGGUUUGCGUCGUUGCAGGUUUGCGUCGUUGCAGGUUUGCGUCGUUACAGGUUUGCGUUGUUGCAGGUUUGCGUUUUGCAGGUUUGCGUUUUGCAGGUUUGCGUUUUGCAGGUUUGCGUUUUGCAGGUUUACGUUUUGCAGGUUUGCGUUGUUGCAGGUUUGGGUUUUGCAGGUUUACGUUUUGCAGGUUUGCGUUGUUGCAGGUUUGCGUUGUUGCAGGUUUGCGUUGUUGCAGGUUUGCGUUUUGCAGGUUUACGUUUUGCAGGUUUGCGUUGUUGCAGGUUCGCGUUGUUGCAGGUUUGCGUUGUUGCAGGUUCGCGUUGUUGCAGGUUUGCGUUGUUGCAGGUUCGUGUUGUUGCAGGUUUGCGUUGUUGCAGGUUCGUGUUGUUGCAGGUUCGUGUUGUUGCAGGUUCGCGUUGUUGCAGGUUUGCGUUUUGCAGGUUUGCGUUGUUGCAGGUUUGCGUUGUUGCAGGUUCGCGUUGUUGCAGGUUCGCGUUUUGCAGGUUUGCGUUUUGCAGGUUCGCGUUGUUGCAGGU
rnacentral:lncRNA from 1 species